CUCUUGACUUCGUAAACGUAAACCUAAUCUGCUUAGAAGACAGAAACUCUCGACUCCGACUCCCUGUGUCUGUGGCUGCCCAGUCCCCUCCGUCUCUGACUCUCCUUCAAGCUCUCUAAGGCACCGCGCGAGGGUUUCAUUUUCUCUUCUCUUCUCCAAAACCCUAGCAGUCGGCAGUCGCUUCCUGGCCAUCCUCUGGUACGAAUCAUCCUCUGCGCGCUCUCUUCCUCGGCGGCGCCUCCUCUGGCCAUCCUCUGCUCCAUACAUCAAGGCGUACUUUAGGUGCGGAAGUGAGUUUCUUGGGCGUAAGGUGUUCGACGAAAUGGCCUCGAGAAAUCUCUACUCCUGGAACAAUGUGCUCUCCAGGUAUGCAAAGCUGGGUAGGAUGCGCCCCGAGAGAAAGAUGUUCAACAGAAUACCUAAGAGGGAUAUUGUUUCCUGGAACACAAUGUUGAUCAGGUAUGCAAAGGUUAGUGAUUGCGACGAAGCAUUAAGGUUCUAUAAGGAGUUUCUGACGUAGGGGAUGAGGCCCAACAAGUUCAGAUUCGCUAGCCUCUUGACCAUUGCGUGAAGCUGAGAGAAGUAGGACUUACUAGACAGGUUCAUGGCCAGGCACAUGCAUGCAUGCCAAAUGGUAAAUGAAUCAUGGACGAUGGGAUUAAUCGAUCUGUUGGAAUGAUAAGGUGGUAUGACGGAUUUGGUCUGCAUCUGCAAGCUGGUUUGAGGAGACUGGGCUUCGUUCGAAUUGGUGGGUGCACGUGAAACCAGGCGGGACAAUUCAAUUAAGGUUAUAAGCAUAGCUAACACAGACAGAAUUUUGAGUGUGAUGACAACAAAGAGACAUUCGAACAUUUGAAAGAAGAGAAGAAAUUAAUGGCAUUGCUCUGAUUCCUUAAGCAACUGAUUCCAAUGGUAGCCGAUUGAUGGAUUUUCAAUGGAAUCCCGCCAGUGAUUUUCUGUUAGUACAACAAUACUAAUUCCGAUGUGGAUAUCUCAGGAGCAAGGGACACACCAAGUGAUGAUAUAAAUGCGAAAAGAGGUGUCCACCUAUUAUAUAAAACAGAGUCAAUAUUAGUGCUUGGUGUAG